UCUCUUCUCGGCCUUUUGGCUAAGAU
rnacentral:snRNA from 1 species